rnacentral:rRNA from 1 species
GACGAACGCUGGCGGCGUGCUUAACACAUGCAAGUCGAACGGUAAGGCCCUUCGGGGUACACGAGUGGCGAACGGGUGAGUAACACGUGGGUGAUCUGCCCUGCACUUCGGGAUAAGCCUGGGAAACUGGGUCUAAUACCGGAUAGGACCACUGCCUGCAUGGGUGGUGGUGGAAAGCUUUGGCGGUGUGGGAUGGGCCCGCGGCAUAUCGGCUUGUUGGUGGUGUGAUGGCAUACCAAGGCGACGACGGGUAGCCGGCCUGAGAGGGUGACCGGCCACACUGGGACUGAGAUACGGCCCAGACUCCUACGGGAGGCAGCAGUAGGGAAUAUUGCACAAUGGGCGCAAGCCUGAUGCAGCGACGCCGCGUGAGGGAUGACGGCCUUCGGGUUGUAAACCUCUUUCAGCACCGACGAAGCGCAAGUGACGGUAGGUGCAGAAGAAGGACCGGCCAACUACGUGCCAGCAGCCGCGGUAA